ACUACGCUGGCGGCGUGCCUAACACAUGCAAGUCGUACGAGAAAGCCGGCUUCGGCUGGUGAGUAAAGUGGCGCACGGGUGAGUAACGCGUGGAUAAUCUGCCCUUAAGUGUGGAAUAACGUACCGAAAGGUGCGCUAAUACCGCAUAAUGCCUGGCAACACAAGUUGUCCGGCCAAAGAAGGCCUCUGUUUACAAGCUUUCGCUUCAGGAUGAGUCCGCGUACCAUUAGCUUGUUGGUGGGGUAAUGGCCUACCAAGGCGACGAUGGGUAGCCGGCCUGAGAGGGUGACCGGCCACACUGGAACUGAGACACGGUCCAGACUCCUACGGGAGGCAGCAGUGGGGAAUCUUCCGCAAUGGGCGAAAGCCUGACGGAGCAACGCCGCGUGAGUGAAGAAGGCCUUCGGGUUGUAAAACUCUGUCAUCAGGGAAGAAGAAAGUGACGGUACCUGAGGAGGAAGCCCCGGCUAACUACGUG
rnacentral:rRNA from 1 species